UACGGAGGGGACUAGCGUUGUUCGGAAUUACUGGGCGUAAAGCGCACGUAGGCGGAUUUGUAAGUCAGGGGUGAAAUCCCGGGGCUCAACCUCGGAACUGCCUUUGAUACUGCAAAUCUCGAGUCCGGAAGAGGUGAGUGGAAUUCCUAGUGUAGAGGUGAAAUUCGUAGAUAUUAGGAAGAACACCAGUGGCGAAGGCGGCUCACUGGUCCGGUACUGACGCCGAGGAGCGAAAGCGUGGGUAGCAAACAGG
rnacentral:rRNA from 1 species